CCGUUGGGGCCGCAGAAGGAGUUUAUUGGGGUAUGUUGGCAGUCAAGCUGAAAGUUUUACCGUCACUAACAACCUCGUGGGAUAAAGUCUAAUGUAAUCCUCCGUCAAUGAAUCAAUGAUGUAGAAAUAUUGAAUGUUUUGGAGUAACUGGAGUUUUAUUGGUGACAGAAAACACGGGGAGUUUACGAAAUUUCUUGGCGCGCGAAACUAGAGGACAGAACGUGGGACGGGCUCAACUUAUGUCAAACCGUGUUAUGCUCAAAGAUCGAAUGAAAUCUUAAGGAAUAUUCAGCAGUUUUGGAAUGAAAAUGGCAGAGGUAGCGCCACCUGAGAUCCAGGAAGGGGAUAAAUUAAGAUUAAUUCAAAAAAGACUUAAAUUACUAAAACAAGAGAUUUCCGAACGCAGCAAGAAAAAUUAUGAACUGGAAAGGGAUGUACGCUUCUUUGACCAAAGGAUUGCACUUCUGAUCAACCAUCGCAUCGCUGUAGAGGAAUUAUCAGAUCGGAUUGGUGAUGGCGAUCGUCGUGUUGGAGUAAUUAAAGAUGAACUGAAAUGUCAGAGAUAUGGAAACCUCUUUUACUUGCUUCAAACAGAGCCUCAUUACCUUGCACAGUUAACCAGAAUUGUGGUGUUAAGUGAAAUUGACUCCCUAUUACAGCCAGUAAUGUUUUCAUUGUAUGGAAAUCAGUACGAGCCAAGAGAAGAGUAUCUAUUGCUGUCAAUGUUUGAGCUUGUCUUGAAGUAUGAAUUUGAGGAGUCAGAAAAUUUUAAUAGUUUGCUGAGAGCAAACACAGCAAUCUCAAGAAUGAUGACAACCUACACAAGAAGGGGACCUGGACAACAGUAUUUAAAACUUGCUCUUGAGGAACCUCUUCAUGAGUUGUUAUCACAACCUGACUUGCUGCUGGAAAUCAAUCCUGUAAAAGUCUACAUAGAAGUACAUGGUUAUCCAAAAGAUGAAAACACACAACUAACUUAUGAAAAGGCAAUGGAUGACCCAGAAGUUCAGUUAAAAACAAAAAUUCGUAUUAAAAAGCUUGUAGACAUAGCAUCACUGUUCCUUGGAAUCAUUGUUAGUUCCCUGAAUAAUGUGCCUUAUGGUAUAAGAUGGUUGUGCGGUGCAAUAAGAACACUUGCAACGGAAAAGUAUCCAGAAGCGCAACCAGAACAAAUCAAUGCUAUGAUUGGUGGAUUCUUUUUGUUAAGAUUUUUAAACCCUGCCAUAGUUACUCCUACAGCACAUAUGUUGGUCGAAAAACAACCUUCACAAAAUAUGAGAAGAAACCUGACCUUGAUCGCAAAGAUUCUUCAAAGCAUGGCGAAUAAGAACAUUGUGACAAGUCAUUUCAAGGAGGAAUAUAUGCAGCCCUUACAGCCGUUUGCCUUGGAGCACGUUGACCUAAUGCAGAAUUUUUUAAGAGACCUCUGUGAGGUCUCAGAUUUUCAUGAAAACUUAGAGAUGGAACAUUAUCUUUCUCUGUCUAAAAAUAUCAAGAUCUCAAUAACACUGAAUGAGAUGUUCAAAAUUCAUGAGCUGAUGCUGCAAUACAAAGAUGACUUGGCAUUAACAGAGGAUGACCCAUUACACAUACUUUUGGAUGAGCUGGGUCAAGCUGAGCUCCAGAUGUCAAGUUUAGAUAAUCUAACUAUACAUUUGCCUUUAACAAACAAAUGGGGCCCAUCAAAACAAGUUCUGAGGACAGAAUCUAUAGAGUCAACAUUCAGCAAGAAGAUUGAGAGUGAAGCUGUAAAAGAACAGUGCAGGAAACUGUUGGUUAAGAUGUUAUGCUUGCGCCCCUGUCUAAUGUUGGAAAACACCUUGUAUGAUGCAGUUAUGAAGGCACAGGACGAACCCAGUACUGAUUGGGGAGGACUGGCUGAGUAUUUAUUGCAUGUAUACCAGGCAGUUGAAGAAUUUCAUUCUGUAUUAACCAAUGACGCACUGUAUUAUCAGGAGCUGAAGGAGGAGGCUCAGCUCAAACUGUUGAAAUAUGAAAAAUUUGAGAUGGAGCUUAAAAGUUUAGAAAGAGUCUACGAGGCUCUCGAUAACCAUGGAAAUUUUCUCCAGGAACAACUUAAUGCUUACAAAGAAUACUUAGUAGUUGUGAGAAACAGAGCAGCCUCAAUACCUAAAAUACAAAAGAGAAGUAGUUUUGGACUUUCCUCUUCACAAGGAGGCCCAAAGGUGGUGAGGUUUUCUUACAAUCAGCUUGAGAGAGAUGGAGUGAUCGUAGAAACCAAUGAUAUUCCAGAAAAAAAGAAAAGCUGAUAUCUCGGUGACAGUUUCAUCACCAGAACCAGGAAUUUAUACAGUAACUUUAUUCUACAAAGGUGAAACAAGCAAAGCAUAUGAAACAGAUCUAAUUUUAGAAGAGCUACUUGAAAAACAACAUCUAAGCAAUCCGG
rnacentral:misc_RNA from 1 species